CUACAAGUGCCUAGAGCCUAUAUCAUGCAUUGGAAUUGCUUGGUACCUUAUAAAUUUAACAUGCAAGCUCAAGAACAUGGUCACCUAUGCAGCAAAAAAUUUCAAUGAAUAAAGCACUAGAACAAAAACUAAUUGGACUAAUGGAGGAGUCACAUACCAAGCAACAAUCUCCCAAAGCAGUUUUGUGAAUGGAGCUUUGAGCAAGGAGAUCGAAAAUCGCAGCAAAAUGAGCUAGAACUCGUGCUUGACCUGGAUGGGGAUUUUUUCGGUAGAAGAUGAAGUGUGUGGGUGCUGGCAUAAGUGGGGGGGCCACCAGGGGCCCACGAGACAGGGGGGCGCGCCCUAUAGGGGGGGCGCCCUCCACUCUCAUGGCUUGGUGCUUGCCCCUCUUGCAGUGAUUUCAGUGCCUAAAAUCCUCAAAUAUUCCAGAAAAAAUCAUACUAAAUUUGCAGGGCAUUUGGAGCACUUUUAUUUUUGGAUUAUUUUUUAUUGCAUGGAUAAUUCAGAAAACAGACAAAUAAUACUAUUUUUGCUUUAUUUAUUCUAAAUAACAGAAAGUAAAAAGAGGGUACAUAAGGUUGUGCCUUCUAGUUUCAUCCAUCUCAUGAUCAUCAAAAUGAAUCCACUAACAAGGUUGAUCAAGUCUUGUUAACAAACUCAUUCCGAAUAACACGAAACCGGAGAAAUUUCGAAUAACACUAAGUUACCUCAACGGGGAUACGAAAAUCCCCAACAAUAAGAAUAUCAUACUUUUUCUUGACAGUAGGGAGAGGAAAUUCAAAACCUCCAAUAAUAAUAGUUGGAACUUUUCCAAUAGAAUUCAUGCUAUGAACUUGAGGUUGUUUCCUCGGAAAGUGUUCCGUAUGCUCAUUACCAUUAACAUGAAAAGUGACAUUGCCUUUGUUACAAUCAAUAACAGCCCCUGCAGUAUUAAGAAAAGGUCUACCAAGGAUAAUAGACAUACUAUCGUCCUCAGGAAUAUCAAGAAUAACAAAGUCCGUUAAGAUAGUGACAUUUGCAACCACAAUAGGCACAUCAUCACAAAUACCGACAGGUAUAGCAGUUGAUUUAUCAGCCAUUUGCAAAGAUAUUUCAGUAGGUGUCAACUUAUUCAAUUCAAGUCUACGAUAUAAAGAGAGAGGCAUAACACUAACACCGGCUCCAAGAUCACAUAAAGCAGUUCUAACAUAAUUUCUUUUAAUGGGGCAUGGUAUAGUUGGUACACCCAGAUCUCCAAGUUUCUUUGGUAUUCCACCCUUAAAAGUGUAAUUAGCAAGCAUGGUGGAAAUUUCAGCUUCCAGUAUCUUUCUUUUAUUUGUGAUGAUAUCCUUCAUAUACUUAGCAUAAGGAUUUACUUUCAGCAUAUCAGUUAAGCGCAUACGUAAGAAAAUAGGUCUAAUCAUUUCAGCAAAGCGCUCAAAAUCCUCAUCAUCCUUUGACUAGGAUGGUUUAGGAGGAAAGGGCAUGGGUUUCUGAACCCAUGGUUCUCUUUCUUUACCGUGCUUCCUAGCAACAAAAUCUCUCUUAUCAUAACGUUGAUUCUUUGAUUGAGGGUUAUCAAGAUCAACAGCAGGUUCAAUCUCUACAUCAUUGUUUUUGCUAGAUUGAGCAUCAACAUGAACAUUAUCAUUAACAUUAUCACUAGGUUCGUGUUCAUCACCUGAUUGUGUUUCAGCAUCAGAAAUAGAAAUAUCAUUGGGAUUCUCAGGUGUGUCUACAGUAGGUUCACUAGAAGCAUGCAAAGUUCUAUCGUUUUUCUUUUUCUUCUUUUUAGAAGAACUAGGUGCCUCUAAAUUGUUUCUCUAAGAAUCUUGCUCGAUUCUCUUAGGGUGUACUUUAGGAUACAAAGGUCCUUGAGUCAUUCUACCAGUUCUAGUAGCCACUCUCACAACAAAGUCAUUUUUAUUAUUUAAUUCAUCAAGCAAAUCAUUUUGAGCUUUAAGUACUUGCUCAGCUUGAGUAGCAACCAUAGAAGCAUAUUUGCUAACGAGUUUGAGUUCAUCUUUAACUCUAGCCAGAUUAUCGCUUAUGCGUCCUAUCUCGAAAGCAUUAUUCUUUAACUCUCUACCAACAUAAGCAUUAAAACUUUCUUGUUUAGCCAUAAAGUCAUCAAAUUUAUCGAAGCAUGGGCUAUGAAAUUUAGUAGAGGGGAUUUCAACUUUAUCAUAUCAUAUCUAUAGAGAGAAUUUACCUUUACUACCUGUGUCGGGUUAUCAAGACAAUGUGGUUCUUCAACAGGCGGUAUAUUAAGACCAUGUAUUUUUUCAAUAGGAGGUAAAUUCUUAACAUCUUCAGCUUUAACACCUUUUUCUUUCCUUGAUUUCUUUGCCUCUUGCAUAUCUUCAGGACUGAGAAAUAAAACACCUCUCUUCUUUGGAGUGGGUUUAGGAAUAGGCUCAUGAGUUGGCUCAAUUGGUUCAGGAAUUGCUUCAGGAAUUGGCUCAGGAAGAGUCCAAUUAUUUUCAUUAGUCAACAUAUUAUUCAAUAAUAUUUCAGCUUCGUCGACUGUUCUUUCCCUGAAAACACAACCAGCACAACUAUCCAAGUAGUCCUUGGAAACAUCGGUUAGUCCAUUAUAAAAGAUAUCAAGUAUUUCAUUUUUCUUGAGAGGAUGAUCAGGCAAAGCAUUAAGUAACCGGAGAAGCCUCCCCCAAGCUUGUGGGAGACUCUCUUCUUUGAUUUGCACAAAAUUAUAUAUUUCCCACAAGGCAGCUUUUUCUUAUGAGCAGGGAAAUAUUUAGCAGAGAAGUAAUAAAUCAUAUCCUGGGGACUACGCACACAACCAGGAGCAAGAGAAUUAUACCAAGUCUUAGCAUCACCCUUUAAUGAGAACGGAAUUAUCUUAAGAAUAUAAUAAUAGAGAGACUUCUCAUCAUGAGUAAUCAGGGUAGCUAUAUCAUUUAACUUGGUAAGAUGUGCCACAACAGUUUCAGAUUCAAGGCCAUAAAAAGGAUCAUAUUCAACUAAAGUAAUAAUUUUAGGAUCAACAGAGAAUUCAUAAUACUUAUCAGUAACACAGAUAGGUGAAGUAGCAAAAGCAGGGUCAGGUUUCAUUCUAGCAUUAAGAGACUGCUGCUUCCAUUUAGCUAAUAAUUUCUUAAGAUCAUAUCUAUCAUUGCAAGCAAAGAUUUCCCUAGCAGCUUCUUCAUUCAUAACAUAACCCUCAGGAACAACAGGUAAUACAUAAUCAUUGGGAGAACCUUCAUCAUCACUAUCAUCUAUAAUAGCAUCUUCAAUAUUUUCAUUCUCCCUAACUCUAGCAAGUUGUUCAUCAAGAAAUUCACCUAAUGGCAAAGUAGUAUCAAGCACAGAAGUAGUUUCAUCAUGCAUAGCAGAAGUGGCAUCAUCAAUAACAUGCAACAUAUCAGAAUUCAUAGCAGUAGCAGGUUUAGGUGUCGCAAGCCUACUAAUAACGGAAGGAGAAUAUAGUGCAGAGCUAGAUGGCAGUUCCUUACCUCCCCUCGUAGUUGAGGGCAAAAUAGUAGUUCUGUCAUCUUUCAAGUUCUUCAUAGUGAUUAACAGAUAUAAAUCCCAAGUGACUCAGAGAAUAUAGCUAUGCUCCCCGGCAAUGGCGCCAUAAAUUAGUCUUGAUAACCCACAAGUGUAGGGGUCACAACAACUUUCGAGGGUAAAGUAUUCAACCCAAAUUUAUUGAUUCGACACAAGGGGAGCCAAAGAAUAUUCUUGAGUAUUAGCAGUUGAGUUGUCAAUUCACCACACCUGGAUAACUUAGUAUCUACAGCAAAGUAUUUAGUAGCAAAAGUGGUAUGAUAAUAAAAGUAACGGUAGCAAAAGUAAAGAUAAUAGUUUUUGGGUUUUUGUAGUAGUUGUAACAGUAGCACCGGAAAAGUAAAUAAGCGAAGAACAAUAUAUGAAAAGCUCGUAGGCAAUGGAUCAGUGAUGGAUAAUUAUGCCGGAUGUGAUUCCUCAUGCAAUAGUUAUAACAUAGGGUGACACAGAACUAGCUCCAGUUCAUCAAUGUAAUGUAGGCAUGUAUUCCGUAAAUAGUUAUACGUGCUUAUGGAAAAGAACUUGCAUGACAUCUUUUGUCCUACCCUCCCGUGGUAGCGGGGUCCUAGCGGAAACUAAGGGAUAUUAAGGCCUCCUUUUAAUAGAGAACCGGAACAAAGCAUUAGCACAUAGUGAAUACAUGAACUCCUCAAACUACGGUCAUCACCGAGAAGUAUCCCGAUUAUUGUCACUUCGGGGUUGUCGGAUCAUAACACAUAAUAGGUGACUAUAGACUUGCAAGAUAGGAUCAAGAACACACAUAUAUUCAUGAAAAACAUAAUAGGUUUAGAUCUGAAAUCAUGGCACUCGGGCCCUAGUGACAAGCAUUAAGCAUACCAAAGUCAUAGCAACAUCAAUCUCAGAACAUAGUGGAUACUAGGGAUCAAACCCUAACAAAACUAACUUGAUUACAUGGUAAAUCUCAUCCAACCCAUCACCGUCCAGCAAGCCUACGAUGGAAUUACUCACGCACGGUGGUGAGCAUCAUGAAAUUGGUGAUGGAGGAUGGUUGAUGAUGACGACGGCGAUGAAUCCCCCUCUCCGGAGCCCCGAACGGACUCCAGAUCAGCCCUCCCGAGAGAGCUUAGGGCUUGGCGGCGGCACCGUGUUGUAAAAUGCGAUGAAACUUUCUCUCUGAUUUUUUUUCUCCCCGAACGUGAAUAUAUGGAGUUGGAGUUGAGGUCGGUGGAGGUCCAGGGGGCCCACGAGAUAGGAGGGCGCGCUCUAGUGGGGGCGCGCCCCUGUCUCGUGGACAGGCCCUGGGCCCCCUGGUGUAUUUCUUUCGCCCAGAAAUUCUUAUUAAUUCCAUAAAGUACCUCUGUGGAUUUUCAGGACAUUCUGAGAACUUUUCUUUUCUAGACAUAAAACAACAUCAUGGCAGUUCUGCUGAAAACGGCGUCAGUCCGGGUUAGUUUCAUUCAAAUCAUGCAAGUUAGAGUCCAAAACAGGGGCAAAAGUGUUUGGAAAAGUAGAUACGUUAGAGACGUAUCAAGCAUGAAUAAUAAACAUUUAUCAUGAAAUAAGGAAAUAAAUAAUAACUUUAUUAUUGCCUCUAGGGCAUAUUUCCUUCACCAAUAUUGUCCCAAAGGUUGCCUGGUCAAAGAAGCUCUCCUGAAUUGUUCGCGAAGAGUCUUUGAUCCCGUUGAACACGCACAACAGAUGAGGGCGCUGCCGAAGUGGCUGGACUCUUCGGUUUAUCGCAGUGGCCAUUACAUCUAUUAUAGUAAGGCCAGUGCUCGUUAACUGCUUCAUCCGAGAUGCCAGCUUGGUUACCUUGGCACUUUCCUCCUGGGCGGGGCCCUGCAGCCUCCAACUAUAACGCCUCUUCGGGGGUUCCUUGGAGAACCAGGGGAGUCCCGGCCGAACUGGGUCGAGGAGGGGAACAUCGUUUAUAUAAACCACUCGGUUGGACAGACGUCGGUGUCCACUCGAGGAGUGCCUAAUGGGUAUUCGGUCCCCUCGAUUCGGCAACCCCAACCUCAUAACUUCUUGGCAGGGGAGUAGGGAAAUACGUAUAAAUACUUCCUCCGUAGCCCGAAGCAUGCCUCACACUCGAGGUGCAUCUCGCAAAGGGCGACGUACCCCGCAAUAUGUAAAAUCUAGUUGGGGUGAAAUGGUGAAGUUGCAGCCAAACAAACUCCAAUAGACCCCGAAGGAAGGGAUGAAUGGGAAACCCUAGGCACGCAGCAAGAAGGAGACGAAGCAUACCCUUUCUCCCUCUUGAGGAGAAGGGUGAUUCUCUGCAUGCACUUGCCCGUUCAUGGAUGUCAAUCCUGAGCGGGUCGCUGACAGAUCUGAAUCAGGCAAAUGUCCUUACUUGGCCAGGCGUUCCAGUCGGAUGCACGAGACAACACAACAGCCUAGUCGCCUAUAAUAGGGACGUGAGGGCACCUCAAAGAGCCUGCAUUUCUCACCAUGAGAAACUCUCGAGGUUGGACUUGGGAGGAGGGGAGCGCUUGCGUGAUUUGCUUGGAAAGAGGGGUUGGGGUGUAUGGUAAAUCCGCACGCCUGGCUCAUAAAUAAAAAGAAGGAGAGGCCGUUGCUUCGACAUUUCGCCAUAAAGCAACUUGCUUCCCCGUAAAAACGUGAAGGAGAGCUGAGCCCGCCCGGCAGAGCUAUCAAACUUCCAAAGACUACUUGAAGAAGUCCAAGAGUGUCAUCCUCGGCAUCGAAGGCUCGUUCAGGGGCUACUGAUGGUGUCCUAGACUAGGGAGUGCCAACCUAGCCAGUCUGCAUUCUUUGGGCUGGGCCAAUGGGCCUUCAUUCCUCUCAAGAUGGACUCCGGAAGUUGCACGCUCGAGGCGAGAUCAAGACUGCAUCGACCGAAGACUUGACGUGUACUCCAAGAUUUCUCCUGCCGCCUCCACGCCAAAAUACCGACUUUGUAACCCUAGGAGCCCUACAUGGCGUCUAUAUAAGCCAAAGGGUUUAGCCUCUAGAGGCAACAUCAACACAAUCUCGUUCACCUAGCCAUAGAGUUAGAACACAUCUGACGAUCUCAAGGUAGAUCAACUCUGUAUUUGAUACAUCUCCAUCAAUAUAAACAAGAGCAGGACGUAGGGUUUUACCUCCAUCAAGAGGGCCCGAACCUGGGUAAACAUCGUCUCCUUCUUCCUGUUACCAUUUGUCCGAUAUCCACAGCUCGGGACCCCUACCGCGAGGUUUGCCGGUUUUCACACCGACAACGCCAUGCUUUGCACCCAAAAUGACGGUGGUAGCAAAACAUGGCACUGGUUCUAGCAACCAAAAAAACGGUGGUAGCAAAAAACCAGCAAAACAAAAAACGCCAGUGGUAGCAAAAAAUGAAGUUUGUUCUAGCAAACUAAAACGCUGGUCGUAGCAAAAAAAUACAAAAAUUGGGGUUGGUUUCAGCAUACCCAAAAACCGGUGGUAGCAAAAAGUUGUGCUGGUUCCAGCAAAAAAACGAUGGUAGCAAAAAAUGCAAGAUUGGGUGGUGGUUGCAGCUUUCCCCGACAGUGGUGGCAACUUACGGCGCCGCGGGUUCCAGCUAUGUAGAGGUGGUUGCAGCUUUCAACAUGGAAGGUCACCAUGGUCGGCCUCGGAUAACUCCACAACGAUGGCACCAGUUGUAGCUGGGGGCUAUGCUGGUUACAACAUCACGCGAACUGGUUGUAGUAGAGGUGUUGUGCCGCUCGAAGCAACUCUCAUGGCUAGGACGGGGCAUAGAAGCUAUUGGGAACGUAGUAAUUUCAAAAAAAAUCCUAUGCACACGCAAGAUCAUGGUGAUGCAUAGCAACGAGAGGGGAGAGUGUUGUCCACGUACCCUCGUAGACCGAAAGCGGAAGUGUUAGAACAACGCGGUUGAUGUAGUUGUACGUCUUCACGGCCCGGCCGAACAAGCACCGAAAGUACGGCACCUCCGAGUUCUAGCACACGUUCAGCUCGAUGACGUCCCUUGAACUCUGAUCCAACCGAGUGUCAAGGGAGAGUUCCGUCAGCACGACGGCGUGGUGACGAUGAUGAUGUUCUACCGUCGUAGGGCUUCGCCUAAGCAGUGCUACAAUAUUAUCGAGGAGGACUAUGGUAGAGGGUGGCACCGCACACGGCUAAGAGAUCAAUGAUUUGUUGUUGUUGUGUCUAGAGGUGCCCCCCCCCCCCCGCCCCCGUAUAUAAAGGAGCAAGGAGGGAGGUGGCGGCCGGCCAGGAGGAGGCGCGCCUGGAGGAGUCCUACUCCCACCGGGAGUAGGACUCCCUCCCUUCCUUGUUGGAUUAGGAGAAGAGGGGAAAGAGGAGGGAGAGAAAGGAAGGAAAGGGGGGCGCUGCCCCCUCUCCUUAUCCUAUUCAGACUAGGGGGGAGGGGCGCGCGGCCCUGCCCUAGCCGCCUCUCCUCUUCUCCACUAAGGCCCACUAUGGCCCAUUAAGCCUCCGGGGGGUUCCGGUAACCCCUCGGUACUCCGGUAAAAUCCCGAUUUCACCCGGAACACUUCCGAUAUCCAAAUAUAGGCUUCCAAUAUAUCAAUCUUCGUGUCUCGACCAUUUCGAGACUCCUCGUCAUGUCCUUGAUCACAUCCGGGACUCCGAACAACCUUCAGUACAUCAAAACUCAUAAACUCAUAAUAUAACCGUCAUUGAAACUUUAAGCGUGCGGACCCUACGGGUUCGAGAACUAUGUAGACAUGACCGAGACACGUCUCCGGUUAAUAACCAAUAGCGGAACCUGGAUGCUCAUAUUGGCUCCUACAUAUUCUACAAAGAUCUUUAUUGGUCAAAACGCAUAACAACAUACGUUGUUCCCUUUGUCAUCGGUAUGUUACUUGCCCGAGAUUCGAUCGUCGGUAUCCCAAUACCUAGUUCAAUCUCGUUACCGGCAAGUCUCUUUACUCGUUAUGUAAUGCAUCAUUCCGUAACUAACUCAUUAGCUACAUUGCUUGCAAGGCUUAUAGUGAUGUGCAUUACCGAGAGGGCCCAGAGAUACCUCUCUGACAAUCGAAGUGACAAAACCUAAUCUCAAAAUACGCCAACUCAACAUGUACCUUUGGAGACACCUAUAGAGCUCCUUUAUAAUCACCAAGUUACGUUGUGACGUUUGGUAGCACACAAAGUGUUCCUCUGGUAAACAGGAGUUGCAUAAGCUCAUAGCUGUAGGAACAUGUAUAAGUCACAAGAAAGCAAUCGCAACAUACUAAACGAUCAAGUGCUAAGCUAACGGAAUGGGUCAAGUCAAUCACAUCAUUCUCCUAAUGAUGUGAUCCCGUUAAUCAAAUGACAACUCAUGUCUAUGGUCGGGAAACAUAACCAUCUUUGAUUAAUGAGCUAGUCAAGUAGAGGCAUACUAGUGACAUUAUGUUGUCUAUGUAUUCACACAUGUAUUAUGUUUCCGGUUAAUACAAUUCUAGCAUGAAUAAUAAACAUUUAUCAUGAUAUAAGGAAAUAAAUGAUAAAUUUAUUAUUGCCUCUAGGGCAUAUUUCCUUCAGUCUCCCACUUGCACUAGAGUUAAUAAUCUUGAUUACACAGUAAUGAUUCUAACACCCAUGGAGCCUUGGUGCUGAUCAUGUUUUGCUCGUUGAAGAGGCAUAGUCAGCGGGUCUGCAACAUUCAGAUCCGUAUGUAUCUUGCAAAUCUCUAUGUCUCCCACCUGGACUUGGUCCCGAAUGGAAUUGAAGCGUCUCUUGAUGUGCUUGGUCCUCUUGUGAAAUCUGGAUUCCUUUGCAAAGGCAAUUACACCAGUAUUGUCACAGAAGAUCUUCAUUGGUCCCGAUGCACUAGGUAUGACACCAAGAUCGAAUAUGAACUCCUUCAUCCAGACUCCUUCAUUUGCUGCUUCCGAAGCAGCUAUGUACUCCGCUUCGCAUGUAGAUCCUGCCACGACGCUUUGUUUAGAACUGCACCAACUGACAGCUCCACCGUUCAAUAUAAACACGUAUCCGAUUUGUGAUUUAGAAUCUUCCGGAUCAGUGUCAAAGCUUGCAUCGAUGUAACCAUUUACGACUAGCUCUUUGUCACCUCCAUAAACGAGAAACAUAUCCUUAGUCCUUUUCAGGUAUUUCAGGAUAUUCUUGACCGUUGUCCAGUGAUCCACUCCUGGAUUACUUUGGUACCUCCCUGCUAAACUUAUUGCUAAGCAUACAUCAGGUUUGGUACACAGCAUUGCAUACAUGAUAGGGCCUAUGGCUGAAGCAUAGGGAACAUCUUUCAUUUUCUCUCUAUCUUCUGCUGUGGUCGAGCAUUGAGUCUGACUCAACUUCACACCUUGUAAUACAGGCAAGAACCCUUUCUUUGCUUGAUCCAUUUUGAACUUUUUCAAAACUUUAUCAAGGUAUGUGCUUUGUGAAAGUCCAAUUAAGCGUCUUGAUCUAUCUCUAUAGAUCUUGAUGCCUAAUAUGUAAGCAGCUUCACCGAGGUAUUUCAUUGAAAAACUUUUAUUCAAGUAUCCUUUUAUGCUAUCCAGAAAUUCUAUAUCAUUUUCAAUUAACAAUAUGUCAUCUACAUAUAAUAUCAGAAAUGCUACAGAGCUCCCGCUCACUUUCUUGUAAAUACAGGCUUCUCCAAAAGUCUGUAUAAAACCAUAUGCUUUGAUCACACUAUCAAAGCGUUUAUUCCAACUCCGAGAGGCUUGCACCAGUCCAUAAAUGGAUUGCCGGAGCUUGCACACUUUGUUAGCACCUUUUGGAUCGACAAAACCUUCUGGUUGCAUCAUAUACAACUCUUCUUCCAGAAAUCCAUUCAGGAAUGCAGUUUUGACAUCCAUUUGCCAUAUUUCAUAAUCAUAAAAUGCGGCAAUUGCUAACAUGAUUCGGACAGACUUAAGCAUCGCUACGGGUGAGAAAGUCUCAUCGUAGUCAACUCCUUGAACUUGUCGAAAACCUUUUGUAACAAGUCAAGCUUUGUAGACAGUUACAUUACCAUCAGCAUUUGAAGAUCCAUUUAUUCUCGAUGGCUUGCCGAUCAUCGGGCAAGUCAACCAAAGUCCAUACUUUGUUCUCAUACAUGGAUCCCAUCUCAGAUUUCAUGGCCUCUAGCCAUUUUGCAGAAUCUAGGCUCAUCAUCGCUUCCUCAUAGUUCGUAGGUUCGCCAUGGUCAAGUAACAUGACCUCCAUAAUAGGAUUACCGUACCACUCUGGUGUGGAUCUUACUCUAGUUGAGCUACGAGGUUCGGUAGUAACUUGAUCUAAAGUUUCAUGAUCAAUACCAGUAGCUUCCUCACUGAUUGGUGUAGUUGUCGCAGGAACCGGUUUCUGUGAUGAACUAUUUUCCAAUAAGGGAGCAGGUACAGUUACCUCAUCAAGUUCUACUUUCCUCCCACUCACUUCUUUCGAGAGAAAUUACUUCUCUAGAAAGGAUCCGAACUUAGCAACAAAAGUCCUGCCUUCAGAUCUGUGAUAGAAGGUGUACCCAAUAGUCUCCUUUGGGUAUCCUAUGAAGACACAUUUCUCCGAUUUGGGUUCGAGCUUAUCUGGUUGAAGUUUCUUCACAUAAGCAUCACAGCCCCAAACACUACUAUCAACGUCCGUUUUCCUCUUGAAGAUCCAUUUAUUUUCUAUGGAUUGCCGAUCAUCGGGCAAGUCCACCAAAGUCCACACUUUGUUCUCAUACAUGGAUCCUAUCUCAGAUUUCAUGGCCUCCAGCCAUUUCGCGGAAUCUGGGCUCAUCAUCGCUUCCUCAUAGUUCGUAGGUUCAUCAUGGUCUAGUAACAUGACUUCCAGAACAGGAUUACCGUACCACUCUGGUGCGGACCGUACUCUGGAAGACCUACAAGGUUCUGUAAUAACUUGAUCUGAAGUUUCAUGAUCAUCAUCAUUAGCUUUCUCACUAAUUGGUGUAGGAAUCACUGGAACUGAUUUCAGUGAUGAACUAUUUUCCAAUUCAGGAGAAGGUACUAUUACCUUAUCAAGUUCUACUUUUCUCCCACUCACUUCUUUCGAGAGAAACUCCUCUAGAAAGGAUCCAUCUUAGCAAUAAAUAUCUUGCUUUCGGAUCUGUGAUAGAAGGUGUACCCAAUAGUUUCCUUUGGGUAUUCUAUGAAGACGCACUUCUCCGAUUUGGGUUCGAGCUUAUCAGGUUGAAACUUUUUCACAUAAGCAUCGUAGUCCCAAACUUUAAGAAACGACAACUUUGGUUUCUUGCCAAACCACAGUUCAUAAGGCGUCGUCCCAAACGGAUUUUGAUGGUGCCCUAUUUAAAGUGAAUGCAACUAUCUCUAAUGCAUAACCCCAAAAUGGUAGUGGUAAAUCGGUAAGAUACAUCAUAGAUCGCACCAUAUCCAAUAAAGUGCGGUUAUGAUGUUCGGACACACCAUUACAUUGUGGUGUUCCAUGUGGCGUGGGCUGUGAAACUAUUCCACAUUGUUUUAUAUGAAGGCCAAACUCGUAACUCAAAUAUUCUCCUCCAUGAUCAGAUCGUAGAAACUUUAUUUUCUUGUUAUGAUGAUUCUCCACUUCACUCUGAAAUUCUUUGAACUUUUCAAAUGUUUCAGACUUGUGUUUCAUUAAGUAGAUAUACCCAUAUCUGCUCAAAUCAUCUGUGAAGGUGAGAAAAUAACGAUACCCGCCGCGAGCCUCAAUAUUCAUUAGUCCACACACAUCAAUAUGUAUGAUUUCCAACAAAUCAGUUGCUCGCUCCAUAGUUCCGGAGAGCGGCGUUUUAGUCAUCUUGCCCAUGAGGCAUGGUUCGCAAGUACCAAGUGAUUCCAGAAGUCCAUCAGUAUGGAGUUUCUUCAUGCGCUUUGCACCAAUAUGACCCAAACAGCAGUGCCACAAAUAAGUUGCACUAUCAUUAUCAACUAUGCAUCUUUUGGCUUCAACAUUAUGAAUAUGUGUAUCACUACUAUCAUGAUUUAAUAAAAAUAGACCACUCUUCAAGGGUGCAUGACCAUAAAAUAUAUUACUCAUAUAAAUAGAACAACCAUUAUUCUUUGAUUUAAAUGAAUAACCGUCUUGCAUCAAACAAGAUCCAGAUAUAAUGUUCAUGCUCAACGCUGGCACCAAAUAACAAUUAUUCAGGUCUAAAACUAAUCCCGAAGGUAGAUGUAGAGGUAGUGUGCCGACCGCAAUCACAUCGACUUUGGAACCAUUUCCCACGCGCAUCGUCACCUCGUCCUUAGCCAAUCUUCACUUAAUCUGUAGUCCAUGUUUCGAGUUGCAAAUAUUAGCAACAGAACCAAUAUCAAAUACCCAGGUGCUACUGCGAGCAUUAGUAAGGUACACAUCAAUAACAUAUAUAUCACAUAUAACUUUGUUCACCUUGCCAUCCUUCUUAUCCGCCAAAUACUUGGGGCAGUUCCGCUUCCAGUGACCAGUCUGUUUGCAGUAGAAGCACUCAGUCUCAGGCUUAGGUCCAGAUUUGGGUUUCUUCUCUUGAGCAGCAACUUGUUUGUUGUUCUUCUUGAAGUUCCCCUUCUUCUUCCCUUUACCUUUUUUCUUGAAACUGGUGGUCUUAUUGACCAUCAACACUUGAUGCUCCUUCUUGAUUUCUACCUCCGCAGCCUUUAGCAUUGCGAAGAGCUCGGGAAUAGUCUUGUCCAUCCCUUGCACAUUAUAGUUCAUCACGAAGCUCUUGUAGCUUGGUGGCGGUGAUUGAAGAAUUCUGUCAAUGACACUAUCAUCAGGAAUAUUAACUCCCAGUUGAAUCAAGUGAUUAUUAUACCCAGACAUUUUGAGUAUAUGUUCACUGACAGAACUAUUCUCUUCCAUCUUGCAGCUAUAGAACUUAUUGGAGACUUCAUAUCUCUCAAUCCUGGCAUUUGCUUGAAAUAUUGACUUGAACUCCUAGAACAUCUCAUAUGCUCCAUGACGUUCAAAACAUCGUUGAAGUCCCGGUUCUAAGCCGUAAAGCAUGGCACACUGAACUAUCGAGUAGUCAUCAGCUUUGCUCUGCCAGACGUUCUUAACAUCGUCAGUUGCAUCUGCAGCAGGCCUAGCACCCAGCGGUGCUUCCAGGACGUAAUUCUUCUGUGCAGCAAUGAGGAUAAUCCUCAAGUUACGGACCUAGUAUGUGUAAUUGCUACCAUCAUCUUUCAACUUAGCUUUCUCAAGGAACACAUUAAAAUUCAACGGAACAACAGCACAAGCCAUCUAUCUACAACAAACAUAAACAAGCAAAAUACUAUCAGGUACUAAGUUCAUGAUAAAUUUAAGUUCAAUUAAUCAUAUUACUAAAGAACUCCCACUUAGACAGACAUCCCUCUAAUCGUCUAAGUGAUCACGUGAUCCAAAUCAACUAAACCAUGUCCGAUCAUCACGUGAGAUGGAGUAGUUUUCAAUGGUGAACAUCACUAUAUUGAUCAUAUCUACUAUAUGAUUCACGCUCGACCUUUCGGUCUCAGUGUUCUGAGGUCAUAUCUGUAUAUGCUAGGCUCGUCAAGUUUAACCUGAGUAUUCCGUGUGUGCAACUGUUUUGCACCCGUUGUAUUUGAACGUAGAGCCUAUCACACCCGAUCAUCACAUGGUGUCUCGGCAUGAAGAACUUUCGCAACGGUGCAUACUCAGGGAGGACACCUAUACCUUGAAAUUUAGUGAGAGAUCAUCUUGUAAUACUACCGUCAAUCAAAGCAAAAUAAGAUGCAUAAAGGAUAAACAUCACAUGCAAUCGAUAUAAGUGAUAUGAUAUGGCCAUCAUCAUCUUGUGCUUGUGAUCUCCAUCUUCGAAGCACCGUCAUGAUCACCAUCGUCACUGGCGCGACACCUUGAUCUCCAUCGUAGCAUCGUUGUCGUUUCGCCACCUAUUGCUUCUACGACUAUCGCUACCGCUUAGUGAUAAAGAAAAGCAAUUACAGGGCGAUUGCAUUGCAUACAAUAAAGCGACAAUCAUAUGGCUCCUGCCAGUUGCCGAUAACUCAGUUACAAAACAUGAUCAUCUCAUACAAUAAAAUAUAGCAUCACGUCUUGACCAUAUCACAUCACAACAUGCCCUGCAAAAACAAGUUAGACGUCCUCUACUUUGUUGUUGCAAAUUUUACGUGGCUGCUACGGGCUAAGCAAAACCGUUCUUACCUAUGCAUCAAAACCACAAUGAUAAUUCGUCAAGUUAGUGUUGUUUUAACCUUCUCAAGGACCGGGUGUAGCCACACUCGGUUCAACUAAAGUUGGAGAAACUGACACCCGCUAGCCACCUGUGUGCAAAGCACGUCGGUAGAACCAGUCUCGCGUAAGCGUACGCGUAAUGUCGGUUCGGGCCGCUUCAUCCAACAAUACCGCCGAACCAAUGUAUGACAUGCUGGUAAGCAGUAUGACUUGUAUCGCCCACAACUCACUUGUGUUCUACUCGUGCAUAUAACAUCUACGCAUAAAACCUGGCUCGGAUGCCACUGUUGGGAAACGUAGUAAUUCCAAAAGAAAAUCCUACGCACACGCAAGAUCAUGGUGAUGCAUAGCAACGAGAGGGGAGAGUGUUGUCCACAUACCCUCAUAGACCGAAAGCGGAAGCGUUAGAACAACGCGGUUGAUGUAGUCGUACGUCUUCACGGCUCGACCGAUCAAGCACCAAAAGUACGGCACCUCCGAGUUCUAGCACACGUUCAGCUCGAUGACGUCCCUCGAACUCCGAUCUAGCCGAGUGUCGAGGGAGAGUUUCGUCAGCACGACGGCGUGGUGACGAUGAUGAUGUUCUACCGUCGCAGGGCUUCGCCUAAGCACUGCUACAGUAUUAUCGAGGAGGACUAUGGUGGAGGGGGGCACCGCACACGGCUAAAAGAUCAAUGAUCUGUUGUUGUUGUGUCUAGAGGUGCCCCCCUGCCCCCGUAUAUAAAGGAGCAAGGGGGAGGGGCGGCCGACCAAGAGGAGGCGCGUCUGGAGGAGUCCUACUCCCACCGGGAGUAGGACUCCCUCCCUUCCUUGUUGGAUUAGGAGAAGGGGGAAAGAGGAGGGAGAGAGAUGAAGGAAAGGGGGCGCCGCCCCCCUCUCCUUGUCCUAUUCGGACUAGGGGGGAGGGGCGCGCGGCCCUGCCCUGGCCGCCUCACCUCUUCUCCACUAAGGCCCACUAUGGCCCAUUAAGCCCCCGGGGAGUUCCGGUAACCCCUCGGUACUCCGGUAAAAUCCCGAUUUCACCCGGAACACUUCCGAUAUCCAAAUAUAGGCUUCCAAUAUAUCAACCUUCAUGUCUCGACCAUUUCGAGACUCCUCGUCAUGUCCGUGAUCACAUCCGGGACUCCGAACAACCUUCGGUACAUCAGAACUCAUAAACUCAUAAUAUAACCGUCAUUGAAACUUUAAGCGUGUGGACCCUACGGGUUCGAGAACUAUGUAGACAUGACCGAGACAUGUCUCCGGUCAAUAACCAAUAGUGGAACCUGGAUGCUCAUAUUGGCUCCUACAUAUUCUACGAAGAUCUUUAUCGGUCAAACCACAUAACAAGAUACGUUGUUCCCUUUGUCCUCGGUAUGUUACUUGCCCGAGAUUCGAUUGUCAGUAUCCCAAUACCUAGUUCAAUCUCGUUACCGGCAAGUCUUUUUACUCGUUAUGUAAUGCAUCAUUCCGUAACUAACUCAUUAGCUACAUUGCUUGCAAGGCUUAUAGUGAUGUGCAUUACCGAGAGGGCCCAGAGAUACCUCUCUGACAAUCGGAGUGACGAAACCUAAUCUCGAAAUACACCAACUCAACAUGUACCUUUGAAGACACCUGUAGAGCUCCUUUAUAAUCACCCAGUUACGUUGUGACAUUUGGUAGCACACAAAGUGUUUCUCUGGUAAACAGGAGUUGCAUAAUCUCAUAGUUGUAGGAACAUGUAUAAGCCAUGAAGAAAGCAAUAGCAACAUACUAAACGAUCAAGUGCUAAGUUAACGGAAUGGGUCAAGUCAAUCACAUCAUUCUCCUAAUGAUGUGAUCUCGUUAAUCAAAUGACAACUCAUGUCUAUGGUCAGGAAACAUAAUCAUCUUUGAUUAAUAAGCUAGUCAAGUAGAUGCAUACUAAUGACAUUAUGUUUGUCUAUGUAUUCACACAUGUAUUAUGUUUCCGGUUAAUACAAUUCUAGCAUGAAUAAUACAUUUAUCAUGAUAUAAGGAAAUAAAUGAACUUUAUUAUUGCCUCUAGGGCAUAUUUCCUUCAGCAGCGCCCCCCAUAGCCUCACCACGCAUGCCGGAGAUUUCUUGCAACACCGCUCGCCUGCUUCACACUACAACGCCGCCAUCUCUCCCUUUCGCCGGUCGUAGCUCGUGGGUGGCCUUGGCCCGUAGGGAACACGUGACAACAAAACUUUGUUGUGAUGAUAAGAAUUCCAGAGAUAAAAGCGACGCAUCGCCCUACUGAUGUGUAACUCUCACGUACAACAAGUGGGCCUCAGCAACGAGCAAGCGGCACGACCGGCGCGACCGGCGCGACGGGCCGAACGCUCGACCGUAUACGAACAUUUCCUAAGAACUAGGUAGGAAGUGCGGUGCUGCCGGGUAUAAUUAUAUACAAUUUGGUAAUACAAUCAUUGAAGCAUUGCGAAUAUAGAAAAUAGGAUAAUGUAGUUGUGUUUAUCAAUCUAAUAUAUCAAGUUUAGAUCAGAAACAUUGCAUCGAUACAUACACACUCAAUACAUAGCAAUUGGUCCAGCAAAAAACAAAAGGUUUCAAUCCAAAAGUAAGCUAUAUACAUAUUUAGUACGUAGCAGUUGGUUCACGCAACUACAAAAGGUCCUCGACUUCCUUGUCAUUACAUACCAUAUUAUAGGUAAAUAAAGUAUGAAUUGAAUCCUGGGCAGCAGUUCAGAUAAUUCAGUGGCAAGUUCCAUGCAUUUAGACGGAGGUCGACGUGAUUCGUCAUUACAUACCGCGUCUACCAAAAGAGACCACAAAUUCAGGCUUGUACCUAUAGAGAAGAUAAUUUUACCAGGACAGAUAGUGUUACCUAGUCCAAAUAAAGGCGAAGUGCAUAUGGCAACGGGCUUAUAAGAGGCAUAAGAAUGAAGCGUGUGCAUAUGGCAACGGGCUUAUAAGAGGCAUAAGAAUGAAGCGUGUCUUUUGAGAUUCACAGUGAUAGUCGAUAGCUGCAGAGAAGAGCACAUAUUCUACUUAAAUACUGAUAUAUUCUAUAGCUGCCAUAGCAAACUAUUUUAAAAACUGGCUUACAUGCGAUCCGUGCAUUUAGUCUUUAAAGACUAAAGUCCUGCGGGUAGUAGGCUGGGACUUUGUUUUGGACCUGUGGUCUGUUUCACUGGGAAAGCAACAAACAUGAGUAAUGUAUAUAGUUGUAAAAGUCUGAAGAGUGGGAGGGAGGGUAUGUUACUCGUUUGGUGGCUGUGAGCCCGCAGUUUCGGUAAGGCCAUCCUAGAGGUUAAUGUUCAUUUGUAUGCAAGUAAUGCAAGUGAAAAGCUGACCAAUACUGUGAUUACCUCUAAUUUGUUGACACUUUUAGUUGCUGGAGUGUUCUCAUGGUCAAAGAGGCGAGCUGAUUCUGAAAGGAUUGCGCACGACCAUAUAACACUGAUGACCUACUUAGCUUUGAGUUGUCUUUGUCAUUUCUUGAGCUCCACCAAGUUGGGAUCAUCUCUUGUAAUUAUGCCCAUGGUCAGUAGAUAGGCUAAAGCAGCAGAACAUGUUGACUCAAUAGCACCGCUGGCAAGCUGAGUUGAUUCUCCAUAAUAUUCAUGUUGAGUCGGUAAUAUGCUUUUGUUGUGGGGGCAGAGAUCGAUUUUCACUGAUGCCAUUACUAUGGCAUCAUCAGCACCAGCAAGUUCGAAUGCAUGAAUUGUACCGUCGAUCAGUUUGAUAGCUUCUUCGAGCAUAUACCUUCUCUUGAUGGUAACACAGAUGGCAUAGAGCUACAUUCAUUGAAAAGGGUAAAAUAAUCUAUUAGGUUAAUUGGGCAUGUUACCAUUAGUAACCCGGUAACAAUAUAAUUGAAAGUGAAAAUAAGCAACAAUCUACUAAAUAUUUAAAGCAGAAUGAAAAUAACUCAAAGCAAGGCAUGAUACCUUCUAUAGUCUUAAUUGUUGAAUGAUAAAAUAGACCAGGAGUACAUUAUGAAGGAAAGGACCGUUGUACAUUGGUAUUAAGCAUAGUUUGCAAGAAAAGAGAUAAAUGUGGUACAUAUGUUUUUACCAAUAAUAACAGUGGGGUGUGUGCAUGAUACAGAAUAACAUCCAGUCUGUCUGGUAGCACCGAUGUAGGAUACACAUAUAUUUAGACUACAAUAGGCAAGGGGUGGCAUUUUUAUAUAGACAUUGACUGCCUGAUAUGACCCAUCCAGAACACACAUAAUCUACAAUAGGGGCAGAACAGAUGCAUAUUUGCACCAACUCAGAAAGCAUGGCAAUAACUCAAUCUCUCAUCAUGCCAUCGAUAUUGCAUGGGAGGGGUCCCAUCUCAUCCUUCAUCUUUUUCACUUGGGGAUAUCAAACUCAAUCUCUCAUCAUGCCCACAAGACAUCUCAGACACUCAGUAGCAGCACUUUGCAUGGCCUCAUUAACAUCAGUAGCUGGUCUCCGCCAUAAUUUUUUAUCAGUUCCAAUGAAUGCCACAAGUAGACAGUAGCACCCUUAAACACGAUGGCACAUGCAAGUCAUUUACUUUGCAUCGAGCAAACCCAUCUGAGCAAGAACAACAUUGAGAAUGGCCUUUGGGAUGACCUUGAUAGCAUCCUUCCCUUUAAGAAUACAGUGCAUUUAGUAGAAGAAGGUAAACAUGUGUAUACCUACUUAUGAAUAACCUAUCUUAUAAGAAAAUGGGAAUGAACAGAACAAUAUAAGUUUCAGUACUCGACACACAACAUAAUCAUGUUUGUGCUCCAAGCAUACCACAAUCCAUAGCAAUAAUCCUGAAUGCGCGAUUACCCAAGAAAUAUCAAUAUGUGCAUUCAAGAAUACUCAUGACACAUAUCUUACUGGGGUAGGCCAAGCAUCAAGGAGCUAGCAAGGGACGCAUCCAUGAGAGGCAUGGAUAGAGAAAAUAUUGACUGCCCUACAAUUGUUUAGUGACCUAAUCAUGCAAACAACACAUGCAUACAUGUCAAACCUAUGGUGAUACCACAUACAUGUCAAACUGUGCCAAAAAACACUUUCUGGAAAGAGUUAAUGUAAACUCAAGUAAAUCUCUCUUCAAAGGUGAAAAUUUGCUCUACGACAUCAAUCAUUAGGAUAUACUUUCCUAUCACUUACAAAGGAGCAGGGGAAGCUCCUCUGUCUAAGGAUGCAUACCUAACAUAGCAGAAGACGGUGCCACACAAAUAAAUAUAUCACAAUCCCUCUGAUUGCAAACUUAUAGAUUUCAGUGGUAGUGACAUCAGUAAAACCGGUGGAUAUUAGAACAUCAGAGGGCCUAUCUAAAUUUCAAAAGAAAUAGCUAUAGUAUGAGCACAUUUAAGAUCUGAAAACCCAAAACAAAUUCCACUUGUCCAUUAAACUCUAAUGAAUUACAUGCUUUCACCUCCACAUCAAUUCUCACAUGGUAUAAAAAGAUCAAAAAUCACGUGCAAGUACUGUAUUAAGUGUUGUUUUACCACUGACUUUAUUACAAAGCUCGAGGAGGCCUCCACCAGCGUUGUGGAAUUAAUCAAUUUAUCAUAGGCACUGCAAAAUAGCAAAUCAUGUAGAUGCACCUCUCACUCCACUUUCUUAUAAGUACUUCUCAAACUAUAAUUGUUUGUGGCAAGACACCCUUCCUAUCCCACUAAACCAAGCUAUACCCAUAUCUUCAUUCAGAGCCCGUAAGCAUUCAGAUCAAGGUAUUCACCAUUUUUCUUAAUGCAUAAUAAACUAAAUCAAUAUAUUUGCAAAAGAGACAAAAAGUAUUCAAUAAACAUGCAACGUUUCUGAUCAGAACAAUCAUGGUAUCAUAAGCACAAAAUGUUUCAGAGCAAUGUACAAAAGAUAAAAGACUACAAUCCAAGGGAAAAGGAAAACCAAUUUGAGGUUGAAGCUAUCAAUUUAAGUAUAUAACCAACAAUGUUAGCUAUAACGUUUUGGGAUGCAACUUAUUCAGUUUGAACUAUGAACUUGCAAUCUAAUAGAGUAAUCAGAUUGAGAAGAGAAAACUAACUCACGUGAGAGUGGCCCAAUACUUGUAGUGUUCAGUUCUGCAUCAUUGUCUGUGAGACAAAAUACAAACACACAAAAGGCAGUAAGCACAUGGAUAACAAAGAUACUGAAUUGGGGCUUGAAAAAAUGAAAAUAAAACAUAGAAGGAUGCUCAAAAGAGUAUAAUAAAAAUGCAACAAAACAAAAGACUUCUUAAUCAUCUUGUCAUCAUACAAUGAAACUCAGGUCUUCUUUUCAUAACAAACACAAUCCUUUUGCAUGUGUACAUAGAAUUGGAAGUACUGAUUUACCUUUAGUUGCCUCCGGUGCACACCAUCAGUACCCUCUCAGAUUCAUGACAGAAAGUCAAGCCUGUGCAUAUGAUUAGACCAUGUACUCAACCCAUGGAUUUCGAGUCGCUCGACUAGUCGCGACUAGUCGACGACUAGUCUAUGAGUCGCAAAAAUAUGGUCGACUCAGCUUAGUGUCGACUCGCGACUCAGAGUCGCGACUAGUCACAACGCAGGCUCGACUUCUUCCGAGUCGCUGCCCCAAAGCGACUCGCAUGAGUCGCGACUCAAAAACCAUGACUCAACCUAGAAUAAUCAAACUUCUCCCAGUUUUUCACAAUUUAUAUGUGUACAUAAGAGUAGUUAAAACAGAGAUUGAAAUGGGCAUGCAGAAUAGAUUAUCUGCCGGCAUAUAAAAGUGGAGAAUUUUUGAAAAAUAAAUAUUCAUAACAGGAAUCAUGAACACACCAAAUAAGUUUCACAUUUCAUAUAAUUUCUUACAAAGCAUAAUUCAAAUAAAGUUAAGAUAGGACAAGAAAGUCAGAUAAUUUACAAUAGGAGAAGAGGAUAGCCCUAAAAAGCUUUGAAACUUCAUGCCUCACGCAUCCCAUACUCUUUGCAAUGGGCUAAAUCUAAAAUACAUAUCACCGAUGAUUCUAUUCUCAAAUCAAACAAAACAAAAGGCAAAGGGGCAGCAAGGCUUGAUUACAUAUCCUCUAAACUCCUCCAUAUCUGGGCUCCAAGGACUAUAGAGAAAGGGAGCUAAGCCAUCGACACACUAUCCCUUCCCGAUCCCGAGCGGACAGAUAACUAUUUCUCAAAUCAAGGGAAGCAACUCCAAGAAAUAGAAAAACAACUUGUGGACAUCAUUUUAUUUAGUCAGUGAGUUGGAAAGAUACCUACUGAACUUACACGACUCAAGAGAAUAUUCCAGCUUCCACCAAAGAAUUUUUUGUCACCUUAGCCCUACGAAAAAUCACAUGCAAUAGUUAACAAUGAAAAAAUAUACUAGAUGAAAAUAUGUGUGCCCAGAUUGUGAGCCUAAGCACAAGGGAAACAAAAAACAUCAAAGAUUGUGCUCAGAAUAUAACAGCAAUCUUAUGAACAAAGUAUGUAACUGCAGUAAAAAAACAAAGUUAGAAUAGUGAAUUGGCUUCUUAUACUAACAGUGAGAUCCUGCAUUGCCCGCUUGUAAAGAGAGUGCAUAUCGUGUGUUUCUAUGCAGACUGGAUAUAGAAAAAUGACUGCAACAUGUUGUUUGCUGCAUACAACCUCAUAAAAAUGGCAUAACUAAUGCAAGUAUGUUUUAGUGUCAACUGGAACGAAUAUAAAACUCCAAUAACAAAUUUGCAAGUUUGGAGCAAAUAUAACUUAUUUUGUUCAUGUCUUCGAGAAACACUUAUUUUGUUCAUGCCUAUAAUAUAAUUAUGGCACAACCCUAUAUGUCUUCCACAAAAAAAAUAGAGAGGAAAGCAAUCACAUUAAUAAUUUUAUAGGAAAACGAUGGAAACAACUCACUUCUAGUUUUCAUAGUUAGAGUUGCAGGUAACCAUCAUAUGAGAGUACUCUUAUAUAUUUGAACAUCGUCAGUCAAUCGGGAGCUCUGUUGGCAUACAUCAUGGGAACCGUGUAUUACGAAACCUAAGCAACUAAUGUACUCCAUGUACCUGAUUGUACGACCAUGGCAAAACGUUAUUUUUAAAUCUGACUAUCCGAUACAAUAUACACUGUAGGCAAUGUUUCCUGGCCUAUGAGUUGGCUGUGGAGAGAAGUACUAUGUUCACCCCUUCUCUGUGCCCGUGACGAAUCCAGUGAUGGCAAAAAGUAAAAAAAAAAAACAAAUAGAAAUGCAAAGAGGUGAUGCCCGCAAGUUCUGGCUCGUGAGACCGUGAGAACCAUCGUGGAGUCCAUCCCAUGCACACCCUCGGAUCCGAUUCUUUGUGUGAAAGCCAAAGGCCCGGUCGGGUCGGGCCACAGCGUCAGCAUCAUCGCCACGCAUGGUAUAAAUACUGCAGAUCUAUACCCUGAAGAAGGCUACUGUUAUUGCAUAUGUGUUUCAAUUUUUCAUUUACAGAUCUCUGCAAAAAUCAAAAAAGUUGCCGUGAAUUCACUCCAAGUAAUGAAGCUUACAGAGAUAGCGAGAGUAAAAGAUAGGACUGUAGUGUGACUCGCCCUUGAGAAUCCCCGGGCAUAUGUAGAGUUAUCAAUUUGGGAAGAGUGAAUGGAAUUGAACUAACCAGGAAGCCAAAAUGACGUCUAUCAACCCUCCCAGUCUCGCCAUUGAACCAACCAGGCAACUAAAAGCAGAUCAGAGGUCGCCUCUAGGGACUCUAGCAGCGCCACCAUCAGCUGUUCUCUGCCGCUUUCGUUGUUCCAGGCCAAGAAGACAGAUGAGAUGAGGAGGAUGGGAAAGAGCAACAGUAGUUGGAUCUGUUUCGGUGGCCUGCCAGCGUGAGGAAACUUCGUUCGUUAGGGAAGGGAAGAAAGCAAAUGGUUCGAGGCACGUGGAGGAGGAGAGGGGAGCAGACCUUGAAGAGAUCCAUGGUGGCGUCGGAGCUGAGGAGGGAGGAAGACCGGCAUCAAAGCCCACCCACCGGACGGCCAGGCAGUCAUCACCCGACAAAGGAAGCAGUUGAACCCCUCAUCCACCUCUUACGGCGUGCGAUUGUGGAUCUUGCGGAGCUCGACAGAAACCACACAAAGGGAGGAGGCGGGCUUGGUCUUCCGGGAGCGCUGCUGCGGCCGGCGGAUCGGGCAGCGCCAUGGCCAUGGCCGUCGGCUGACCUGCGGCCGUGGUGGACGAAGUCCGCGUCCACCUGCAUCUUGACACCGCCAUCAGAUGCUCUCCACAGCUUCCCAUGUUCCAGGCCAAGAAGACGGACGAGACGAGGAGGAUGGGGAAGAGCAACAGUGGCCGGAUCUGUCUCGGUGGCCUACCUGCGUGAGGAAACGUGACGGAGCGGUGGCCUGAGUUCGACGAUGGGGAGGAGAAGACGUCUCGCAGCUGUCGGGGGCGCCGCCAGGAAGGGGAGCGGGGGAGGAGGACGAGUGGGAGAGGGCGGCGGCUAGGGUUCCCGCGAGGGAGGAAUGGGAACAAGGAGCAGGGCUGUCGCUCUCCCUCACUAGCAGUCAAGGUGUGUUGACCUAAAUGUGAAAAGACCAAAAUGCCCAUUGGGGGGCACCGAAAUAACAGGCGGUGGCACACCAGAGGACGCACAACAGUGUCGGGCCUAGAUCCGACGGCCCAUAUCGUUCCCUUUGAGAUCCAACGGCCUAGAUCGUUUCAUCUGCAGAUCCGACGGACAAGAUCAUUUUAGAAACGCAAUCCGAUGACCCAUAAUCCAAACGCACGGGAGGGCUUCAUUUUGUUCUGGACUCUAACAAUGGGAUAUAUAUACCAACCUAAUCCAUGGGACUCCGGGCCCUUCGAUCAAAACAGCCAUCUGAAUCUUGGCCCCAACCUCAAAGAAAAAAGAACAUUGGCCCCGCAUGUCAGCCAACACAGGGCAAUAUAUAAAAGAUACCCGCUUCUCCCGUCCCGUGCUCAACCUGUCCCGACCUGGUUUUCCUCCAACCGGCGACCCAGCCAAACCCUAGAACAAACCGACCGAGCAGGCCAUCGCCACCCCACGGACUCGCCGCAGCCGCUGCAGCUGCAGCUGUCGCGCCGCAUGGCCGAGUACGAGGAGGGCUACGAGGGCAACGGCGACCCCGCCGCCGCCGCCGCCGCCGUCACCGGAGGUUCCCCGCCGACCAAGCCCUCCGGUUUCUCCGACCAACCCGACGGUCGCUCCCAGGUGCAUUCCUCUGAUCCACUUGAUCCGAGUAGCGGUCUAGCUGAACCGUGGGUCAUGUCCAGCUUGUGCGAGGUACAGGCAGACUAGUGCUUGUUUAGCUGCGCAGAUGUGUUGAUCUGCGGAGAUGUGUGCGCGCCUAUCUGGGCGCGGGGAUUCUCGGUUGUUAGGGUCGGUUUUGUUUUGAUUGGUAUCAUAUUCGUGGCCUUGUGGGAGCGGCUACUUUUUGAAACUGCCGCGGCUCACUAUUGAUGUGAGAUUACGUUUCUAAUGUAUACGUCUUGCUGCAUUUUAUUCUGUUGCUUCCCUCAAAUUGUUUUUGUUAAGCUACUUGUAUAUCAUUCCUUGAUGCAUUGAACUGAUAAUCACAUGCUUUGUUAAACUUUAUUAUCUUAUUAGCUGUGAAGAUCUAUGUACAAGUUCUGGAUUCUGCCUUAAGAUAAUUUGUGGGUGUAUUCCUCUGUUGCUUGUUUGAAUAAUGUCUUCAAGCGGUCCAUUGAUGGCUCUAAAUAGCAAGCAUUUUGCAUAUGUUCCUUCAUGUAUGGUGAUCAUAUCGUCGUUGAUGAAAGAAUAUCAUUCAGGUGUGUCUAGGGCACAUCUAGAUGUGCCCUAAUUAUUGUACAUCUAAGUGAGUGAAUCAAGCACAAAGAGGAAAACAAAGAAGAAAAAGAAAAUACCCACACAAAUCUCGAUGUAAGACCAAUGACAUAGGACUUAGAUGUGCAAUACUUAUGGCACAUCUAGAUGUGCUUUAGCAAAACUGAUAACAUUCUUAUAUUCUACAAGAAAUCUAACUAAUAUCUUCCUUUUGUCCCCAGCAGGAGGUACAGCCACAUGAGGGAAGGUCCUCAAAAUCUAGAGAGAGGGACAGAGGACGAGAGAAGGACAAGGACAAGGAGCGUGAUAGAGAACAUGGAAGAGAUAGAGAAAGGGGCCGUGAUAAGGACAGGGAGAGGGACCGGGGUGACCGGGACCGGGAACGCGACCGCCACCAUAGGGAGCACCGUGAAAGAAGUGAAAAAAGGGAGCACUGUGGCCAUUCUGAUGACCAUGAUCGUCAUCGCAGCCGUGACCGUGAUAUUGAAAGGUACCAUGUCUAAACUUCCAUGGAUUUAGUUAUGUUAGUUCCACCAUGCCUAUUUCUGAGCUCUAGGUAACUACGUUGAAAACCAUCCAUCUCUGUUACUCACAAGGCUUUUAAUCUUCUGAAGUAUUCCAUGAUGUAAAAUUUGCUUGCCCUCGUGUCGCCCUUUCUGGUGUUUGUUUUAAAGAUACUUUUUGAUUAUGGUCUAUGGUGUACAUAGGAAUUCUAGCAUUAUAGGUGUCCAGGCCUCUGGGUAUGCUUUGCUUGAGCCCAAGUUCAUCCUACCAAGUAUUUGGUCAAGGGUUUGCUUGUUUAUGUUUUGUCCAAUAUUGGCUAGAAAAAUGGAUAAUAGUUGGCAUGGGCACGCCAAAAGUUUGGCAACCAUCCAAAUAAAGACCACAGUUUUGGCUAUGACAGAAAAUUGUUAAUGUUUGUUGGUUUUUGGACACCAACCAAACACUAACAAUACUCUGCACAUUGCCGCAAAAUUAUUUUUGAGAUUUGAUUUCUAAAUAUUGUAUAGAAUAUAAAUUCAUUCCUUAAGAUUUGAACUAUGGGAAUUUCUGCAGAAUUAGAAAAAUAAAAACCUUAACAUGAAAAGUUGAACAUGUCAAAAUUAAUACAUUAAGAUUCAGAACUCACUUAAGGGUGCAUGAAUUAAUGUACGUUGCGUUAGAGAUGCUCUCAUGUCCAGAUCAGACGUGGACCAAUCUAGCAAAUCCAGCAGCUACAACAAUUUUGCUGAUGUGCAUGCUCGCAUGCACAGCAAAAUGGCUGUUUAAUGACUUAUGGGUUUUGUCUAUAUAAGAUUAUGUUGAUAGGGCUAAUACUUUAGAAUUCUUAUUUUGUUAUGUAAGGUUCUGCAGUAUAUUAUAUAGAUGUUAUGUCACCUUUGUUUGGGAGAAGUAAGAAAGAACCAAUCUAUUGUCUCCCAAAUAUCCUCUCAUCUAGUCUAUGUCCAUCUAAACCUCUCGCAGCCAUGCUGUCUGGCUAUCUUCAGCGCAGUAGUUAUCCCAUUGUGAUUACAGGUUCACGACACAUGUUCAAAUUUGUCUAAAAAAGAACUUACUCAUAAUACAUAAUCUUGCCGGGUUCUAUAAAAUUUCACGAUAGAAAUGAGUUGUAGAGUAGCGUUUUGGAGUGAAGUCCAAAUUGACAUCUUUCAAAGUACUCUAGGGAAUAUGCUUAACUUGGUGCGAGGUUCGCUUUUAAUGUUGUUCCUUUGUGGGUGGUUACUUGCUGAAGGUUUAUUGUAACCUUUGUGUGGAUGGUGUUAAAUUUUGUAAAAUCUGUUUUCCUUUGCUAAAAUGAAGGCUCUGUUAAUCAAUUGUUCUUUUUGGGACAGAAAUAGCCAAGUCAUGUUUUCUGGAGAAUGUUUUGUUAUCACAGUAGAAUGCUAAUCUAGUAUCCUCCAUAUACUCAUCCUAUCUUGAUAACAUCAUCUUCUAUACAAAAAACCUGGGCUACUGAUUCUAUGAAAUCUGGCGUAUUCUGAGAUAAACUGGUAAUGCAGAAGAGACCGUGACAAGGAUGGCCAUCGCAGGCAUCGCUCCCGCUCCCGUUCUAAGGGUCGUGAACGCAGAUCCAGAUCUCGUUCGCGUUCUCGUUCAAAGAGGUAUGUGUUGAAACUUGAAUCUCUUCCAAAGGUUUACUAUCUACGUUUAACAUGUCAGCAGUCUGAGGAAGACAAAUCAGCAUUCCUUUCGAGAUCCGUCACAGAUACUAUUCGUGUAUGCUGUUCUUUCAUUGUUUGCGCUUAAAAAUCCAUGCAUUGGUUUCGUGCUUUCUGUUUGGAUGUCAACUGCUAAUACAUUGUUUAUCUGAUGCAGAUCUUUCCUGCGUGAUAUGUUAUUUGUUAUAUACCUUAUGCUGGUUCUAUUGUGUUUCUCUAGUCUGCUAUUUCCUGCUUGUUGAACUACUUAUAUAACUGCCUGCCGCCCUGAAACAGCAAGCGGGUGAGCGGAUUUGACCAGGGACCAUCGCAAGCCAUUCCUAUGGUCACUCCUGGCGCGACCCCAGGUAUGUGGCAAACAAUACUGAUGUUUCUAGUUUUGCAUUUUUACACAUAUGUUUCUAUGAUUAGGACUAAAAAAGAUGAUCUGUUAAGGAACUGCUAAUCAGCUGUUAUGCACAAUUAUAUAUUUGCAAUAAUAAUAGCAGCUUCUGGAAUGACUAUGUACAUCCGUUCAUUUUCACUGCAAUACCUAUCCACAUGCUUUGCCGCGAACUUGUACUAAACAGCCAGAAUGCAAAUUAUUGUUCCUAUAAAUACGGAUCAUCAUUUAUUUCAGAAAUGGUUGCACGUUCCAGUUCAUAAAUAUUGUUGGUUCACAAUCGAACAAAUUUUUGAAGAUUUAGCUUUUGCUUGCGAUUGUCUACGAUAAGUCUGGCAACUUUCCUCUUUGGCUUGUCACCAGAAAUUGACUGAGCUAUGGGAAUUGGCCCAUUCUGAGAACUGGGGCCCUACAGUUUAGUAGCAGUGGAUGCUUUGGAAGGCUUGGUAAUGAUUGUUGUGGGAAUGAUAUUUUCUUACAGAGAAGGCUUGUAAAUUUGCAUUUUACUAGUACAUAUUUCCGUGCGUUGCAACGGGAAAAAAUUGCAGAAUCUGCUCCACAUGCCAACUACGUACAUCUCUAGUGACAUUGUGAAAGUAAUGUUAUUAUCACCAUGUAUAGUAUAAUUGUUUGUGCGUCAAAACAAAGAUACAAAUAUUCUAAUUGUUAAACAUCAAUCUUGUCAAACAUAAGAUCCUUGUACGCAUCAAACAACAUGUUGAUAAUAAAUCAAGAUGUUUCAUCUAUGAGAAAAUAUUGCUUAGUUGAACCGAGCAAGCUACAUAUGAAAGAUGGAAUUUAAAUUUUAUGAUAAGGUAACGAAUGAAACCAACCAUUUAAGUAUACUGUCCAAUGUGUUACGUAAAACAUUUCAAAUGGCAUGACACAACUAAUUCAAGAACUGUCAUAUUACAAGCUAUACCCUUGAGUCGGUCUGAUCAUCUUAUAGUUGCAAAACAAAUAUUUCUUGAGAACUUGCAAGUAAUUAUUAUGCUUAUAAUCUAGAGAACUACCUUGUCCUACCAAAGAAAGAAACAAUCCAAGAACAAGCCCCCUUGCUCAAUUGUAACAUUACGACACGGGUAGCAUCUGAUUCUGAUCUCAUCCUCUCUGUCCGGUUAUGAACUCCAGCUGCCCUGCUCCUCCGCUUUGACCCGUUUCGCCUCAACAAUUUGGUCUCUUCGGUCGCCUCACACUCAACAUCCUACAGUUUUCUCAUGAAUUCCAUUCAGUUUCAACUCAAACAAAUUUGCUAGUAUGAUAAAAUUGCAACCAAACGAUAUGGGCAAACUUGAUCAUGUCCUAAGUCGCCCUCUCAUCCAGCAAGCAGCUUGUCGAGGUGGUUGCAUCUAGCACGUCACAGGAUCAAAUGGCCAGCAGCAUGCUGGAUGAUCCUCGUCCGCUAUACACACUGCAGAUUUUUUGUUUGAAGAAUUCAUGCAAGAAAUGGAAUCCAAGUGUUUAGGAGCGGAGGGAGUACAUGUCAAUGCAAUUUGUUCAUAUAACUUGCUUAUUGUCUUGAAAGAAGCAAACCAUGUACCUCCCUUGUCUAUAUAUUUACCGGGACGGCAUAAGCGACAAUAGUGUGGACCCAGUAUAGGACGACCCCAAGAGGAUAUGGUAUUAUGAGACUCUGGCAAUGACUUGGUGUCCUGUUCCAUGAUAUAAGCUGCAAGGAAUAGCUAACCUCUGGAUCUGCAGCAGAAUUAUUCACUUGCUUAUUUGGUAUCUGGAUCUUUUAGCACAUGGGAAAAUUAUAUGCAACUGUACUUUAAAUUUUGACAACAAACAACACCAGAAAGGACAACUCGUUAUACGCCUACACAAAAAUGCUCUGGUCAUUUUAUUCCUUUAGCUGUUUUCAAUUAUAUACAACAUGCUCUCACUACUGCUACUUAAAAUCAAGGCAUUUUUCAUAUUGUAUUUUUUCAGGCUUCAGUUUACAUGCUUUUUCCUAAGCUUCCACGUCUGAAAGGUAGUUAGCACUCUGUAAUCAUAGAGGAUUUAUAACCAUAUAGGCAUUUCGCAAUGGCAGCGGAGGAUACUGUGGAAUGUAAAAUCUGUAAAUUGUAAAUUAAAAAAAACAAUGACAUGAACAUAAGGCAUGUGUCUCCUACGACUACAACACGUCCAUCUAACAAACUAAAGCACUCGUCAGUCUAAUAAUUUUCAGGUUAGGCUCGCUCAUUACCAUACAACUUCUAGAAAGAAGAAAUCAUACAUUACACAAAAACUGCAGAGAGAAAAAUAGGAUAUGAGAAAGAACCUUUAACCACCCACCCACACAACUUCCAACAUAGAACCUCCGGCGAAGUUGCAACAUUUGCAUCUCUUCAAGCCAAUGUGGAGCAGAUUAUAUAGGGGCAUCCUGAAGCAAACAAACAAAUUAAGAGAAGACCAAAACAAAGGAGAAAUAUGUUUGAUAAGGACCUAAGUGCUAUUUUUGUCAUACCGUAAUUACAUAAGAAUAUGUGACCAAAACACCUCUAAACAGAGGACCGGCAGACAUGGCAAUUUUAAUACCAUAGAGGCUUAAAUUGUGUGUGACCUAUGUGGUUGGGAAUUUCAUCAAAUUCCAAUGAAAGGGGUUGGAAGACUACCUUGUAAGUUCUUCUACAUCAUGAAUCUCUUUGCAUCAUUCAAUUCUUAAUAUGCAAACAGCAUCAUCCGUUAUAUGAGGGCUAUAGUAUGUUUGAUUGACACAUCACGUGCCCCAGUGUCUAAACCUGAGUCCAACACCUGCCAUCAUAUUCAGUUAUUCACUUUCUCUUCUUUUACAAUUUAGUAUGCAUCCGCUCAAGCAGGCCCAUACUGAGUAAAGAGGGGAGGGGGAUCAUAAUCUAUCAGGAAAUAUAAAUGUUUAGCAACAGCAAGCAGGAGCACAUUUAGGCUGCAGUACAGCCCAAAAACGGGUGAUCAAAUCUAAGCACAGUAAAAUAGUUAAAAGCAGAUCCAUGACAUCUAUAUUCUAUUAUUCUUACCGAAUUGGUAGCCUAUCUUCAAGUGUUUCGUUCUUCAUUGUAGAUAUUUGUCGUGAGCACUACCGGACAAGCUGAAAUUGCACUCAAGGCAAGACAAAGAUCAGAAGAUGGAUGUUGGUUCCCUGGGUGGAUUCUCAUAUUCAAUUAAAUAAAUAGAAAGAAGACUCUAGGGCGUAGAGGAGAGCCCGUACUAAAUUAGGAUUCUCAUAUUCAAUUAAAUAAAUAGAAAGAAGACUCUAGGGCAUAGAGGAGAGCCCGUACUAAAUUCCACCGUGGCCAGGCACUCAAACACAACCAUUGCAAGCUCGUGUAUUCUAUCUCAAGAUUCAGUAUUGUCGCUUAGGUUUUCCUAUUGGACAACAGCUCCUUCCGCUGUCCUUGCUCGAACAAAAAAAUACAGAAACCAGUGACCACACCCUCCCAUCAGAAAUCGUAGGACUAUCUACUUGCCAUUCAGUUGUAGCAUGCUCACCAUCAACCCCAUUAAUCUUCUUUGUCAUUCCAGCGCCAACCAUGCCAUGAACUCGUGAGCCACUUGUACCUUCGUAGGGCAUGGUGCCCUGUCAGGAGUUGCACCCCGAUCCUCGGCCUCAAACACAAAAUUGGUCCAUAAAAAAUGCUACCGCAAUAAGCCACACAAUGUUUUCUACACUACAAUUCAGAAGCUACUAACGCCAAAUCCAUGUUGGUAUUUGGGCGCAAAAAUAGUCUGCAUCAACUACUGCAUGGUACACGGAAAACAGGGAGGUCUGCAUGGUACACGGAAAACAGUGAAUUACCUCUUGGUCCAACCAGGCACUUCAUGAAUUACUUUCCCUGUUAAUUCCACCAACAGAUCCCUUCCUUGUCAGCUCUAUUCCUCUACUGCCGCCGGAGCAUAAACAACAUUGACUGAUUUAGCCAAUGUGAAACUGAAGUUUUACUUGCACUUACGUUACACUGAAAGUGAAAAAAUAAAAAUAAACUAUGCACAUCAGCAGAAAUCAUUGUCAAGAAAGCCAUAAUGUAGUGCCACGGGAAACAACACCAAAUAAAACAUCAUCAGUAUAUAGAUGCAAGAAAAAAGAUGCUAGCAACACUGCUGCACCCGAAACUGUAAAUAUCAAGUCCCAGCCGCUUGCUUGGCUUUCCUCAAGAAGCUUCCAUCUAUAUUGAUCAAUCACCCAGCGAACAUCCGGCAGCACAAUUGAUUCGUCGCUUUGCUUGUCAUGCUCAUUCUCGGUUUACAUAGCAUCUCCUUCAGCCCGGUCAAGCUGCAAAAUUUUGCAAAACAGACUGGCCUUUGCCCAGACAUUGGGGAAAGGUGUGGGAGCCAUUAUCCUUGAAUCCGCGAACAACCAAAAAGAUCAAAAACAAUCUCCAUGCCCUGUAAAAUCAAUUGAGUAUUUUCUCUCUCAAUCUCCUUGCUCUGCUCAGCCAUGGGAGGUGGCACAGCCAGAACAGGGGAACUGGUGUGGGCUGGAGGUUGUCCGCAAGGAGGGCCUGCAUGGGAUCCGGCAAGCAUCGUCUCCGUAGCAGUUCGUGAGCCUCACUGGAUUGGAGAGGACAUGGUUGGGAAGCCGGCGAGCAGCGCCACGGGGAAGUGGAGACAGAGGUGCCACGGAGAGGCAGCGGUAUCCUUGCGCACGGUGGCGGAGACGCUUGGGGAGGCGCAGCGGUGACAAGGUAAAUUGACAGGUGCAGCGGUGGCGAGUUGAGUUGCCGCGGCGGGGUCUCGCACAAUUAUGGCGUCCACCGGCGUUCAAUCGCGGCUGCCGGCGAGCGGUGUGCUCCAGGGAGCCGGCUGCCGGGGCUUCUUCAGGGCUAUUGACCGGCGACGGGAGAUUCCGAUGGCGACUGCAAGGGGAUGGGAGAGUAGGGAGCGUUGUUGGGAGCGGAGGGAUGAGGCGCGGCGGCGGACGGAACCCUAGCGCCGGGGGUAUGGCGAUCUCGUGCGGGAGAGAGAGAAGGUCCAUCGAAUCGUUUUCUUUUUCACUUAAUCGAUUAAUGAAUACAGAGUGCGGGUUGAUUCCAUAAAAAAUGAGGGACUUUUUUGCAAAAACGCUGCGACGGUGAACCCGACAGACUCAACCCGUGCUUUAUUAUUAUUAGGGAAAGAUUCCACGUUUUAUAUGGAACUGAGUGACUCUUCUUUUGCUGUUCUUGGUUUUUGUGUCUUUGUUUGUUUGUUUGUUGUGUUUCCAUAUUGGAUAGGAAAGCAAUCUUGGACCACUUUGUCCAUCAUAAACCAAUGGAAAGAGCGGACUAAUGUAGCUUAUUGUACAAGGAGAAAACAACUGGUUUGAUAUCUUGUUUGCCUUCAACUAGUAAUCAGUAUUACCUUAUGGCUGUUCCAUAAUUAUUGCUUUUAGUCCUUUGUCUCCUUGAACAUGUGCAAUCCAUUCUCCAUGUAUUUUUAUCUGAAAUGGAUCUUUGCUAGAUUACUGUGGAUUUCCAUGAUAGUCACACGUAUAUCUGUAAGGAAUUGUUCUUUUUUGAUGAAUUCCAGGUCAGCUGCCCGCAGUUGCCCCUCUUAUUACUGGGAUGCUUCCAAACAUGUUUAAUUUCACUGCUCCUACGCAGGUGACUACUAUUUUCCUUUUAGAUUGGGUUCUGUCACCACCAGGCAAUCUGAUUCACCCUGUUUUGUUACUUUUCUGGUGGUGACAGAAUGAACCUAACUCUAGUAUUUGAUAUGUUUCUACUCAUAAUUUUUUCUUCUUCUAUUUGCAUCAGUUCAAUCCUCUAGUUAUGCAACCACAGGCCAUGACACAACAGGUAUUUGACUUUUCUUAUUGCUUGUCUCCAUCAUAUUUUAGUUUUGUUCUGUGAUAUAACGUCAUGGCUAACCACCCUUAUCCUAGGCUACCCGGCAUGCUAGGCGUGUUUAUGUUGGUGGACUUCCACCAACUGCCAAUGAGCAGGUAAUUACUUAAUUAACUUGUUUGUUUUCUUGACGGCCUAUCCUUUUUUGGUCUGCGCUUUGUAUUAAUUUUGUAUUCUUUCUGCAGACAGUUGCUAUAUACUUCAAUCAAGUUAUGGCUGCUAUUGGAGGAAACACAGCUGGUCCUGGUGAUGCUGUUCUUAAUGUAUACAUAAACCAUGACAAGAAAUUUGCUUUUGUGGAGAUGAGGUCUGUGGAGGAAGCAAGCAAUGCAAUGGCCUUAGAUGGUAUAAUGUUUGAGGGAGCACCGGUGAAAGUUAGAAGGCCAACAGACUAUAAUCCUUCCCUGGCUGCUGCACUGGGUCCAAGCCAGCCAAACCCUAAUCUAAAUCUUGGUGCUGUUGGCUUGACACCUGGCUCAGCUGGAGGUUUAGAAGGCCCUGAUCGCAUCUUUGUGGGUGGCCUCCCGUACUACUUCACCGAGGCUCAAGUGCGGGAGUUGCUUGAAUCCUUUGGACCGUUGCGAGGAUUUGAUCUUGUGAAGGAUAGGGAGACAGGCAACUCGAAAGGAUAUGCCUUCUGUGUAUACCAGGAUCUUAAUGUCACAGACAUUGCCUGUGCUGCCCUGAAUGGUAUCAAGAUGGGAGACAAGACCCUCACUGUUAGGCGAGCAAAUCAAGGCACUUCUCAACCAAGGCCAGAGCAAGAAACCAUCCUGUUGCACGCACAACAACAAGUGCAGAUGCAGGUACACUCAGCUGUUGAAAAUAUAUGUUUUACAAAAUGACAGUGAGUUUAUAUUUCCCUUCCAAAUUUUGACCGUUGCUUUCUGACAGAAACUCGUGCUACAAGUUGGAGGGGCUCUACCGACAAAGGUGGUAUGCCUGACCCAGGUGGUUUCAGCAGAUGAACUGAGAGAUGAUGAGGAAUACGAGGAUAUUUUCGAAGACAUGAGGGAAGAAGGGCGCAAAUAUGGUAAACAAAAUGAAAUCCAUGGACUUGCCUUCAUCUUGUUUUGAACCCUUGCAUUCUGUUAUCAUUGUGUUCAGUUACUGAACUUGUUUUGUUUUGUGUGUUGUCUUUUUGUGUGUCUUUUUUGUAGUCCACAUAAAUGCCAUUGCAGAGUCUUUUAUAGUCCAACCCCAUGCAAUAUUGGCAAUCGGGCUUAACCUACAGAAGACACACUAUUCUUUUCCAAUUGGAUAUGAUUGAUCAUAUAUCAUGUAUUUCUUGUUUAUGUAUGUACUCACUAACACUUGGACAGGUAACUUGGUUAAAGCUGUCAUCCCACGACCUGACCCCAGCGGCGCUGCUGUUCCUGGAGUUGGAAAGGUGAGUUCUGAUUUGAUCAUACUCAGUACUGAUGCGUUGAGCAGGAACAAAAUUAUUUUGAUCCAUGGACUUUGUUGUCCGCGUUGCAGGUGUUUCUGGAAUAUGCAGAUAUCGACGGCUCGACCAAGGCGAAGGUCGGGAUGCAUGGCAGGAAGUUUGGCGGGAACCAGGUGGUGGCCGUGUUCUACCCUGAAAACAAGUUUGCUGAUGGAGAUUACGAUGAUUAGAUGAAGUCCUCUGCUUGGUUGACACCCAUAUCAUGCGUUUGCUUAGUUUUCAAAUUGAAUCCUUUUUUAAUCUGUUUGUGGAACCGUCUGCUCGAUAUAUGGUACUCCCUCUGUCCCAUAAUGUAAAACGUUUUUUGACUCUAGUUUUUUGACUCUAGUAUAGUGUCGAAAAACGUCUUACAUUAUGGGACAGAGGGAGUAUAAUUUUAUUUGUCAAGUACAUGUACCGCUGCUGCCCUUGCCUACUGUACCCAAACAUGAUCAGUGCUGGUAUCUUCCCCCUUGCUGCAUGUGGGUCCUCUGUUCACUUUUGUAAAGACUUUUAAGACAGCACCUAAAGCAGUUCAAUUUCUGUUGUCUUAAAUGACUUACAAAAAUGAACAGAGGAGUAUUAAAGGAUUGUAGGCAUGUUUCAAAUUAUUAUUGGACCUGGGACAUGGUUAUGUGGUGAGAUUCGGGGACGCGGAUUUGGUGAACAUGGGUGCACGCGCACCCUUUAUAAAUAGUAAAUUCAAGAAAAUACUAGAAAAAUU
rnacentral:lncRNA from 1 species